rnacentral:rRNA from 1 species
GCCAGACUCCUACGGGAGGCAGCAGUGGGGAAUAUUGCACAAUGGGGGAAACCCUGAUGCAGCGACGCCGCGUGAGUGAAGAAGUAUUUCGGUAUGUAAAGCUCUAUCAGCAGGGAAGAAAAUGACGGUACCUGACUAAGAAGCCCCGGCUAACUACGUGCCAGCAGCCGCGGUAAUACGUAGGGGGCAAGCGUUAUCCGGAUUUACUGGGUGUAAAGGGAGCGUAGACGGCAGCGCAAGUCUGGAGUGAAAUCCCAGGGCUUAACCAUGGAACUGCUUUGGAAACUGUGCAGCUGGAGUGCAGGAGAGGUAAGCGGAAUUCCUAGUGUAGCGGUGAAAUGCGUAGAUAUUAGGAGGAACACCGGUGGCGAAGGCGGCUUACUGGACUGUAACUGACGUUGAGGCUCGAAAGCGUGGGGAGCAAACAGGAUUAGAUACCCUCGUAA